AUGUGGAUCUUUCGAUUACUGCUGACUUAUUAAACCGUUUAUUGUUUAAACCGAAGUCUAAAGUAUUCUAUUCACUUUAUAAAAAAAUAAUCAGACAUUAUCAAGUUAAGUCCUUUUAGUUUUUGAGGUUUGCAAUAUUUUAUUUUAUUUUUUUUUCAAUGACAUUCUAGUAUGUAUUUUUUUUAGUUAACGAUCAUGCUCCAAAAAUUACCUACUUCAACUAUUAAUACUGUUUAGGUAAUUGCAAAUUAUUUUUUUCGGGAAAUAAAUAGUUCAGUAAAUAGUUUUUAAUAAAAUAAUAAAAAUUUAGAAGAAGGCUAAUACCAAAUUGUAUUUCUACGUUUCUCAGGGAAGUAAUAAAUAAAACUAUAAAAAAAAUAUUUAAAAAUGUUUUAAUACAGUAAUUGGCGUGACGCCUGUAUGUCCUAAGGAAGUCUUUACAGUGAAGGCAUCGUCGCUCGCUUUAGGCCAUGUUGAGGGGAAUCAUGUGAUGGAAAAUAGCAGAAGGCAGUCCAGGAUAUUAAGGAAUAUAUUUUUAGAGGAGGUCUGGAUGAGUCUAGUAGAAAAUUCAUUACCUUGUUGUAACACAUACAUAUUUUUGAAAGUUGAAGCGUCUCAAAGUAAUUUAAGUAACGUGUGUAAUGACAAUAUAUUUAUACCAUCUAAACCUUUAUUAGUUUCUAAUAAGAUAAAGCAAACUGUUAUUAAUUUUAAUUCAAAUUCUCAAGUGUUUUCAUGCUGUGAUAAAUUGGAAGUAUUUAAAGAUUCUUGCGAUGUGGAAGGUCCAGGAAAAUGUGAACGUAAUUUUAAUGAAAAAGACAAAAGUUCAGAAAAUGGAGAAACGUGGUUGCAGUCCACAAUUGUAAUUCGCGGUUUUAAAGAUUGUUUUGUAAAUAAAGUAGCGGCUUCUGAAUUAUGGUAAUCUUUUAGGGAGUAUCAAUUUUUAACUGGAAUUUUUUAUAUCUACAAUGAAUUUUAAGUAAAGAAAAUAUACCUACAUUUUUAUGAAA